rnacentral:sRNA from 1 species
AUAUGUUAACUUGAACUAACAUAGAACUUCUGGUUUCUUUCUUGUAGGAAAGUGACUAUUUUACCCCACAGGGAGAAUUCCGUGUAGACAAAGCAGGAUCCCCUACUUUGUUGAAUUGCCUUAUGUAUAAAAUGUCAUACUACAGAUUUGGAGAAAUGCAGCUGGAUUUUCGUACACCCCCAGGUUUUGACCGAACACGUAAUGCUGAGAUUGGAAAUAAGGACAUUAAAUUCAAACAUUUGGAAGAAGCCUUUACAUCAGAACACUGGCUUGUUAGGAUAUAUAAAGUAAAAGCACCUGAUAACAGGGAGACAUUAGAUCACAAACCUCGAGUCACCAACAUUUUCCCAAAACAGAAGUAUUUGUCAAAGAAGACUACCAAAAGGAAGCGUGGCUACAUUAAAAAUAAGCUGGUUUUUAAGAAAGGCAAGAAAAU